GACGAACGCUGGCGGCGUGCUUAACACAUGCAAGUCGAACGGUGAAGCGCCUUCCUUUUUGGUGGGUGGGGAAGAGUGGCGAACGGGUGAGUAACACGUGAGUAACCUGCCCCCUUCUUCUGGAUAACCGCAUGAAAGUGUGGCUAAUACGGGAUAUUCUGUUUCUGUCGCAUGAUGGUUCUGGCAAAGAUAUUGUUUGGGUUGGGGAUGCGCUCGGUGCGUAUCAGCUUGUUGGUGGGGUGAUGGCCUACCAAGGCGGUGUAGGGUAGCCGCCCUGAGAGGAUGGACGGCUACACUGGGAGUAAGACAAGGCAGAGACUACUAGGGAAGGCAGCAGUAGGGAUUCGGGAACAAGGAGCGAAAGAUCGAUGACGCGGCGCGGAGGGAGGAAUGGGCGCCUUCGCGUGGAGAACGUCUUUCGCUAGGGAAGCAGGCCUGCCUUUUGUGUGAGUGGGUUGACGGUAGCUUGAUAAGAAGCGCCGGCUAACUACGUG
rnacentral:rRNA from 1 species